ACAACUUUCAACAACGGAUCUCUUGGCUCUCGCAUCGAUGAAGAACGCAGCGAAAUGCGAUACGUAAUGUGAAUUGCAAAAUUCAAUGAAWCAUCUAAACUUUUAACGCACCUUGCGCCCCUUGGCAUUCCGAGGGGCACACCGGUUUGAGUGKCGU
rnacentral:rRNA from 1 species